rnacentral:rRNA from 1 species
ACCAAGGCUUCGAUCAGUAGCUGGUCUGAGAGGACGAUCAAGCCACACUGGGACUGAGAUACGGCCCAGACUCCUACGGGAGGCAGCAGUGGGGAAUUUUCCGCAAUGGGCGCAAGCCUGACGGAGCAACCGCCGCGUGAGGGAUGAAGGCCUUUGGGCUGUAAACCUCUUUUCUCAAGGAAGAAGAUCUGACGGUACUUGAGGAAUAAGCCACGGCUAAUUCCGUGCCAGCAGCCGCGGUAAUACGGGAGUGGCAAGCGUUAUCCGGAAUUAUUGGGCGUAAAGCGUCCGCAGGCGGCCGUUUAAGUCUGUUGUAAAAUCGUGCAGCUCAACUCCAUCGCGGCGAUGAAAACUGUUCUGCUUGAUUAUGGUAGGGGCAGAGGGUAUUUCCCGGUGU